UUAAGCGACUAAGCGUACACGGUGGAUGCCCUGGCAGUCAGAGGCGAUGAAGGACGUGCUAAUCUGCGAAAAGCGUCGGUAAGGUGAUAUGAACCGUUACAGCCGGCGAUGUCCGAAUGGGGAAACCCAGUGCAAUUCGUUGCACUAUCGUUAACUGAAUACAUAGGUUAACGAGGCGAACCGGGGGAACUGAAACAUCUAAGUACCCCGAGGAAAAGAAAUCAACCGAGAUUCCCCCAGUAGCGGCGAGCGAACGGGGAGCAGCCCAGAGUCUGAAUCAGCUUGUGUGUUAGUGGAACGGUCUGGAAAGUCCGACGGUACAGGGUGAUAGUCCCGUACACCAAAAUGCACAGGUUGUGAACUCGAAGAGUAGGGCGGGACACGUGGUAUCCUGUCUGAAUAUGGGGGGACCAUCCUCCAAGGCUAAAUACUCCUGACUGACCGAUAGUGAACCAGUACCGUGAGGGAAAGGCGAAAAGAACCCCGGCGAGGGGAGUGAAAAAGAACCUGAAACCGUGUACGUACAAGCAGUGGGAGCACCUUCGGGUGUGACUGCGUACCUUUUGUAUAAUGGGUCAGCGACUUAUAUUCUGUAGCAAGGUUAACCGUAUAGGGGAGCCGCAGGGAAACCGAGUCUUAACUGGGCGUUAAGUUGCAGGGUAUAGACCCGAAACCCGGUGAUCUAGCCAUGGGCAGGUUGAAGGUUGGGUAACACUAACUGGAGGACCGAACCGACUAAUGUUGAAAAAUUAGCGGAUGACUUGUGGCUGGGGGUGAAAGGCCAAUCAAACCGGGAGAUAGCUGGUUCUCCCCGAAAGCUAUUUAGGUAGCGCCUCGUGAACUCAUCUUCGGGGGUAGAGCACUGUUUCGGCUAGGGGGUCAUCCCGACUUACCAACCCGAUGCAAACUACGAAUACCGAAGAAUGUUAUCACGGGAGACACACGGCGGGUGCUAACGUCCGUCGUGAAGAGGGAAACAACCCAGACCGCCAGCUAAGGUCCCAAAGUCAUGGUUAAGUGGGAAACGAUGUGGGAAGGCACAGACAGCCAGGAUGUUGGCUUAGAAGCAGCCAUCAUUUAAAGAAAGCGUAAUAGCUCACUGGUCGAGUCGGCCUGCGCGGAAGAUGUAACGGGGCUAAACCAUGCACCGAAGCUGCGGCAGCGACACUAUGUGUUGUUGGGUAGGGGAGCGUUCUGUAAGCCUGCGAAGGUGUGCUGUGAGGCAUGCUGGAGGUAUCAGAAGUGCGAAUGCUGACAUAAGUAACGAUAAAGCGGGUGAAAAGCCCGCUCGCCGGAAGACCAAGGGUUCCUGUCCAACGUUAAUCGGGGCAGGGUGAGUCGACCCCUAAGGCGAGGCCGAAAGGCGUAGUCGAUGGGAAACAGGUUAAUAUUCCUGUACUUGGUGUUACUGCGAAGGGGGGACGGAGAAGGCUAUGUUAGCCGGGCGACGGUUGUCCCGGUUUAAGCAUGUAGGCUGAUUAUCCAGGCAAAUCCGGAUAAUCAAGGCUGAGGUGUGAUGACGAGGCACUACGGUGCUGAAGUAACAAAUGCCCUGCUUCCAGGAAAAGCCUCUAAGCAUCAGGUAACAUCAAAUCGUACCCCAAACCGACACAGGUGGUCAGGUAGAGAAUACCAAGGCGCUUGAGAGAACUCGGGUGAAGGAACUAGGCAAAAUGGUGCCGUAACUUCGGGAGAAGGCACGCUGGUGUGUAGGUGAAGUCCCUGCGGAUGGAGCUGAGACCAGUCGAAGAUACCAGCUGGCUGCAACUGUUUAUUAAAAACACAGCACUGUGCAAACACGAAAGUGGACGUAUACGGUGUGACGCCUGCCCGGUGCCGGAAGGUUAAUUGAUGGGGUUAUCCGUAAGGAGAAGCUCUUGAUCGAAGCCCCGGUAAACGGCGGCCGUAACUAUAACGGUCCUAAGGUAGCGAAAUUCCUUGUCGGGUAAGUUCCGACCUGCACGAAUGGCGUAAUGAUGGCCAGGCUGUCUCCACCCGAGACUCAGUGAAAUUGAACUCGCUGUGAAGAUGCAGUGUACCCGCGGCAAGACGGAAAGACCCCGUGAACCUUUACUAUAGCUUGACACUGAACAUUGAGCCUUGAUGUGUAGGAUAGGUGGGAGGCUUUGAAGCGUGGACGCCAGUCUGCGUGGAGCCAACCUUGAAAUACCACCCUUUAAUGUUUGAUGUUCUAACGUUGGCCCCUGACCGGGGUUGCGGACAGUGUCUGGUGGGUAGUUUGACUGGGGCGGUCUCCUCCCAAAGCGUAACGGAGGAGCACGAAGGUUAGCUAAUCCUGGUCGGACAUCAGGAGGUUAGUGCAAUGGCAUAAGCUAGCUUGACUGCGAGCGUGACGGCGCGAGCAGGUGCGAAAGCAGGUCAUAGUGAUCCGGUGGUUCUGAAUGGAAGGGCCAUCGCUCAACGGAUAAAAGGUACUCCGGGGAUAACAGGCUGAUACCGCCCAAGAGUUCAUAUCGACGGCGGUGUUUGGCACCUCGAUGUCGGCUCAUCACAUCCUGGGGCUGAAGUAGGUCCCAAGGGUAUGGCUGUUCGCCAUUUAAAGUGGUACGCGAGCUGGGUUUAGAACGUCGUGAGACAGUUCGGUCCCUAUCUGCCGUGGGCGCUGGAGAAUUGAGGGGGGCUGCUCCUAGUACGAGAGGACCGGAGUGGACGCAUCACUGGUGUUCGGGUUGUCAUGCCAAUGGCACUGCCCGGUAGCUAAAUGCGGAAGAGAUAAGUGCUGAAAGCAUCUAAGCACGAAACUUGCCCCGAGAUGAGUUCUCCCUGAGACU
rnacentral:rRNA from 1 species